UAUUUAUUAGAUAAAAAACCAAUGCCCUCCUGGGCUCCUUGGUGAAUCAUAAUAACUUAACGAAUCGCAUGGCCUUGUGCCGGCGAUGGUUCAUUCAAAUUUCUGCCCUAUCAACUUUCGAUGGUAGGAUAGUGGCCUACCAUGGUUUCAACGGGUAACGGGGAAUUAGGGUUCGACUCCGGAGAGGGAGCCUGAGAAACGGCUACCACAUCCAAGGAAGGCAGCAGGCGCGCAAAUUACCCAAUCCCGACACGGGGAGGUAGUGACAAUAAAUACUGAUACAGGGCUCUUUCGGGUCUUGUAAUUGGAAUGAGUACAAUUUAAAUCCCUUAACGAGGAACAAUUGGAGGGCAAGUCUGGUGCCAGCAGCCGCGGUAAUUCCAGCUCCAAUAGCGUAUAUUAAAGUUGUUGCAGUUAAAAAGCUCGUAGUUGAACCUUGGGCCUGGCUGGCCGGUCCGCCUCACCGCGCGUACUGGUCCGGCCGGGCCUUUCCUUCUGGGGAGCCGCAUGGCCUUCACUGGCCGUGUCGGGGAACCAGGACUUUUACUUUGAAAAAAUUAGAGUGUUCAAAGCAGG
rnacentral:rRNA from 1 species